UACGUAGGGUGCGAGCGUUGUCCGGAAUUAUUGGGCGUAAAGCGCACGUAGGCGGUUUGUUAAGUCGGAUGUGAAAUCCCUCGGCUCAACUGAGGAAGUGCAUCCGAAACUGGCAAGCUUGAGUACGAAAGAGGGUCGCGGAAUUCCCGGUGCAGAGGUGAAAUUCGUAGAUAUCGGGAGGAACACCGGUGGCGAAGGCGGCGACCUGGGUCGAUACUGACGCUGAGGUGCGAAAGCGUGGGGAGCAAACAGG
rnacentral:rRNA from 1 species